AGCUUUGCACAGUGGCAGUAUCAUAGCCAAUGAGGUUUAUCCGAGGCGCGAUUAUUGCUAAUUGAAAACUUUUCCCAAGAAUCAACAGACAUUCCUCAUAAGUGCGUCUCUGAGGUUGCUUCCAGGAAG
rnacentral:snRNA from 1 species